rnacentral:rRNA from 1 species
ACGACAUCGAAAGCUUGCUUUUGAUGGGCGUCGACCGGCGCACGGAUGAGUAACGCGUAUCCAACCUGCCCACCACUUGGGGAUAACCUUGCGAAAGUAAGACUAAUACCCAAUGACGUCUCUAGAAGACAUCUGAAGGAGAUUAAAGAUUUAUCGGUGAUGGAUGGGGAUGCGUCUGAUUAGCUUGUUGGCGGGGUAACGGCCCACCAAGGCUACGAUCAGUAGGGGUUCUGAGAGGAAGGUCCCCCACAUUGGAACUGAGACACGGUCCAAACUCCUACGGGAGGCAGCAGUGAGGAAUAUUGGUCAAUGGACGAGAGUCUGAACCAGCCAAGUAGCGUGCAGGAUGACGGCCCUAUGGGUUGUAAACUGCUUUUAUAAGGGAAUAAAGUGAGUCUCGUGAGACUUUUUGCAUGUACCUUAUGAAUAAGGACCGGCUAAUUCCGUGCCAGCAGCCGCGGUAAUACGGAAGGUCCGGGCGUUAUCCGGAUUUAUUGGGUUUAAAGGGAGCGUAGGCCGUUUGUUAAGCGUGUUGUGAAAUGUCGGGGCUCAACCUGGGCAUUGCAGCGCGAACUGGCAGACUUGAGUGCGCGGGAAGUAGGCGGAAUUCGUCGUGUAGCGGUGAAAUGCUUAGAUAUGACGAAGAACUCCGAUUGCGAAGGCAGCCUGCUGUAGCGUAACUGACGCUGAAGCUCGAAAGCGUGGGUAUCGAACAGGAUUAGAUACCCUGGUAGUCCACGCGGUAAACGAUGGAUGCUCGCUGUUUGCGUCUGACGUAAGCGGCCAAGCGAAAGCGUUAAGCAUCCCAC